UAAAAACGUCGGCUAACUUUAUUAUCACACGUAAAAAUUGUAUUGUGGAUGUCGUACGUAUAUGCCUGUUAAUAUACACACGGGUGCGGUUCAUCGUGGAAUUCCAGAGUCGUGAUUAAACAAAGGCCAACGGCUCAUCGAGCCAUCUCGAAAGUUUAUAUUAAAUACGUGCCAUCAAGCAGAGGAUAAAUUCAUUACCAGGCAUCGUUCGUAUCAAUUGUCCUGGCAUUAAUUCCGCUAAAUAAUCCACAGUGUACUCGUACAAACAUUAUUAUGCGAGUAAUUCAAAUGAAAUAUGAAAUAUCACAUUUAUCAUUGUGAAAUAAAUUGAAAUUAUUUUAUUAUCAACUCUAAAAUAUAUACAUUUAAUAAUUAGUUUAAUCGUAAUUUUUCAGGUACAAAUACAUGCAUGAAUUUAAUGUAUGUAGAAGUUGGAGUAGUUAAUAGGAAAAUUGAAAACUUUUCUCAUUAGGUGCUUCAUGAAUUCGUUAGAGGAAUAAAGUAACGAAAAAUAUUUUAAUAAAAUGUUCUAUCACAAAAAAAGGAACAUACGAAUUUUUCUAUUAAAUUUAACAGUUACUUACCUUGGAAAAAAUAUUAUUUAAAUCUUCACAAUGAUUGUUACGACGAAAAGUUUAUUUAUUCGUGUACAUGAACAUAAAUUUGUCUGAGUCAGCGGUUAAUUCUUGGUCCCUCUAGAUUUUCUGUACAUGUUAUUUUACAUAGACUUUACUUGUGUUAGUAUAUAAAAUAGAGUAAGACAAAGCGAGAAAGAGAGAUAUGAAAUGAGGAAAAGAGAGAAAACUAGGCGUCCCGAUCGAUUCAGAGAUGUGGGUCAGGCAUACGCCCGAACCCCUCCAGGAUUUGCUGGCAUCCCGUUCUCUAGUUUUCCUCUUGCUCUUGCUCUUACUCUGGCUUACCCCUUACACUAUUCACACAAAUAACAUUAUAAUCCACGUACAAGAGAACUACUAUUCGUUCCUUGGAGUUCCUCGAUAAUUACCAGAUAUUCCUGCCAAUUUAAUUUCUGGUUUUUUUGUUAGCUUUCAGAUUAUUGAGUCUUGGAAUGUAGAAAAAUUUUUUCCAUGGUUGAAUCUUGAAUAUGUCAAUGGGUUGAUAAAUGUAAGGGGCCAAUUGAACGCUCAAGACACUCCCUAAGGACUUGGUAUAUUUCUUAAGAGAUAUUUUUAUUGCCAGACCAUAAAUCUACUACCCUUCAACUCGUUGGAAUACUCAAGCACUAGAGACCAGUACUUGAAUGCGAUGAUAGAAUUAAAAUAUAGCCAAAAAAAUUUGGCACUAGCUUAAAGUUUCUUGUUGUAUUGUACUUUAAAUUCAAAGUAGGAUUUCACUGGAUUGUAUAGAUGAUAAAAAAUCUAAAUGAUCAUUUUAUGCAACACCAAUAGAGUUUAUUUGGGAAAAAAAAAAUUCAUUUACAUUUAUUUAUUAUUAAUUAAAUGGAUAUAAAAAUUAUUUAAAUAUUAAUCUCCUUUUUUAACUAAGAAGUUCACUUGGAAACAACUGUGGACCUUUUCAUUUUGACCUAUCAACGAAAAUUCAAUCCAUAUAGAUAUAGAA